rnacentral:ncRNA from 1 species
ACCCCCGUGAGGAUGCCUUCCCCUGCCCAAUUAAGGUAGAAAGGAGCGGGUAUCAGGCACAACCCCAAGUUGGCCCACGACACCUUGCACAGCCACGCCCCCAAGGGUACUCAGCAGUAAUAAACCUUAAGCAAUAAGUGAAAACUUGACUUAGUUAAUAUCAAACAGGGCCGGUCAAACUCGUGCCAGCCGCCGCGGUUAUACGAGUAGGCCCAAGUGGAUCGAAACCGGCGUAAAGAGUGGCUAAUAGAACCGCACACUAAAGCCGAACGCCUUCAAAGCAGUUAUACGCAUUCGGAGGCACGAAGCCCCAUAACGAAAGUGGCUUUAAACACUAUUGAACCCACGAAAGCUAGGGAACAAACUGGGAUUAGAUACCCCACUAUGCCUAGCCUUAAACACAAAUGCCCUUAUACCACAAGCAUUCGCCAGGGAACUACGAGCGCGAGCUUAAAACCCAAAGGAUUUGGCGGUGCUUUAGACCCCCCUAGAGGAGCCUGUCAUAGAACCGAUACUCCCCGUUAAACCUCACCCUCUCUUGUUCUUCCCGCCUAUAUACCGCCGUCGUCAGCUUACCUUGUGAGAGACCAGUAGUAAGCAAAAUUGGCAAACCCCAAAACGUCAGGUCGAGGUGUAGCGUAUGAGAGGGGAAGAGAUGGGCUACAUUUACUGCCUCAGUACAUACGGACGAUGACCUGAAAUUCCAUCUGAAGGAGGAUUUAGCAGUAAGGGGGAAAUAGAGUGUCCCCCUGAAGACGGCUCUGGAGCGCGCACAUACCGCCCGUCAUUCUCCCCAAUAACCAAACAAAACAAUAUAUAAUAAAACAGCAUAUAUCAAGAGGGGAGGCAAGUCGUAACAUGGUAAGUGUACCGGAAGGUGCACUUGGAUCAACCC